UACAGAGGUGGCAAGCGUUGUUCGGAAUUACUGGGCGUAAAGGGCGCGUAGGCGGGGAGGUAAGUCGGGUGUGAAAUCCCUCGGCCCAACCGAGGAACUGCGCCCGAGACUGCUUCUCUUGAGUCCCGGAGAGGAAGAUGGAAUUCCCGGUGUAGCGGUGAAAUGUGUAGAGAUCGGGAGGAACACCGGUGGCGAAGGCGGUCUUCUGGACGGUGACUGACGCUGAGGCGCGAAAGCGUGGGGAGCAAACGGG
rnacentral:rRNA from 1 species